UGCCGGCCCUGGGGCGGAUCAAAGUGGGCGACCGUCCCAGGCCCCUAUUUUUUUUUUUUGUCAGGCGUCUGUCUGCACCAGCCGGGGCUCAUGGUUUCUGAAAAUUUAGCAGUUCUUUCUGACAGUGGUGAGGCCCUGGAUACAGUGGUGAGGCCCUGGGUACAGACAGGCCCCAGGCCUAAAAAAUAUCAGGACCGGCCCUGCCCUGCCGACUAAUAAGAUCACAUGACUUUAAUGUGAUCUUCUUCCUCAUUUAAGUGGAUUUCUACUACGCAUAGAGGAGGAAGAGAGGAUAGAAAGGAAGAGGUAGGAAGAGAGGUAUGCAAGCACCGGUCAGACCUCCAGUACUCGUUCGGCCUCUCCUUUAGCGACAUCAUCCAUUACUGCUACUGUAGAAGGAGACCACCUCUGUGGACCUGUUGGACAGCAACAAGCCUUGACUGGCACUUCUGAAUUCUCUAUAUAUAUGUUUGAGCACCCGGCCAGUCUCCUGCAGGUCCAAUUACUAGUUGGACCAGAUCCAAGUUAACGGACUUUACCAAAUCCUAUGGUGGAUAACAUGCCACAUUACCCCUUGUAUUUCACCAAUUCCUGAUUGCGUGUUAUCCACCAUGCAUAUGCUCUGAGGUUUGUGCUGGUUCACUCCGUCAUGGUUCAUGCAAUAAUUUCUCCUCCUGCGGGGCCCAUAAAUGUGAUCGUCAGAGACAUGGAGUAACAAAACAUGAUGCACUUCCUCUGUAUAAUUUGGCAUGAAUGUUUGUUGCUUUCCACUACUGUUAACACUUCAAAGUUGCCAUGUGCUGAACUAUUGACUUGAUCCUUAGUUGGCAUCGGCAAUAGAAACUCCAUUAAGUAGUUCUUCUGAUACUAUCAUAUCAGAGGCUCUAUAUAUUUUGUUUUAAAUUGUGGACUGUUUAUUAAGCUGUGCAUUUGUAUAAUAGCACAGAUGCAAUCAUUUGAUAUAAUACAUUCUUAAGAUACACAUGCAACAUUGCAGGUAUAUAUGAUGAUCAUGUGUAUGC